AGAACGAACGCUGGCGGCAGGCCUAACACAUGCAAGUCGAACGCCCCGCAAGGGGAGUGGCAGACGGGUGAGUAACGCGUGGGAACAUACCUCUUGGUUCGGAAUAGCUCAGGGAAACUUGAAUUAAUACCGAAUACGUCCGCAAGGAGAAAGAUUUAUCGCCGAGAGAUUGGCCCGCGUCCGAUUAGCUAGUUGGUGGGGUAAAAGCUUACCAAGGCGACGAUCGGUAGCUGGUCUGAGAGGAUGAUCAGCCACACUGGGACUGAGACACGGCCCAGACUCCUACGGGAGGCAGCAGUGGGGGAUAUUGGACAAUGGGCGCAAGCCUGAUCCAGCCAUGCCGCGUGAGUGAUGAAGGCCCUAGGGUUGUAAAGCUCUUUCGUCAGGGACGAUAAUGACGGUACCUGAAGAGAAGCCCCGGCUAACUUCGCGCCAGCAGCCGC
rnacentral:rRNA from 1 species